rnacentral:rRNA from 1 species
GACGAACGCUGGCGGCGUGCUUAACACAUGCAAGUCGAACGGAAAGGCCCUGCUUUUGUGGGGUGCUCGAGUGGCGAACGGGUGAGUAACACGUGAGUAACCUGCCCUUGACUUUGGGAUAACUUCAGGAAACUGGGGCUAAUACCGGAUAGGAGCUCCUGCUGCAUGGUGGGGGUUGGAAAGUUUCGGCGGUUGGGGCUGGACUCGCGGCGUAUCAGCUUGUUGGUGGGGUAGUGGCUUACCAAGGCUUUGACGGGUAGCCGGCCUGAGAGGGUGACCGGCCACAUGGGGCCUGAGAUACGGCCCAGACUCCUACGUGAGGCAGCAGUGGGGAAUAUUGCACAAUGGACGGAAGCCUGAUGCAGCAACGCCGCGUGCGGGAUGACGGCCUUCGUGUUGUAAACCGCUUUCGCCUGUGACGAAGCGUGAGUGACGGUAAUGGGUAAAGAAGCACCGGCUAACUACGUG